rnacentral:rRNA from 1 species
UGCAGUCGAGCGGUAGCACAGAGAGCUUGCUCUCGGGUGACGAGCGGCGGACGGGUGAGUAAUGUCUGGGAAACUGCCUGAUGGAGGGGGAUAACUACUGGAAACGGUAGCUAAUACCGCAUAACGUCGCAAGACCAAAGUGGGGGACCUUCGGGCCUCAUGCCAUCAGAUGUGCCCAGAUGGGAUUAGCUAGUAGGUGGGGUAACGGCUCACCUAGGCGACGAUCCCUAGCUGGUCUGAGAGGAUGACCAGCCACACUGGAACUGAGACACGGUCCAGACUCCUACGGGAGGCAGCAGUGGGGAAUAUUGCACAAUGGGCGCAAGCCUGAUGCAGCCAUGCCGCGUGUGUGAAGAAGGCCUUCGGGUUGUAAAGCACUUUCAGCGGGGAGGAAGGCGAUAAGGUUAAUAACCUUGUCGAUUGACGUUACCCGCAGAAGAAGCACCGGCUAACUCCGUGCCAGCAGCCGCGGUAAUACGGAGGGUGCAAGCGUUAAUCGGAAUUACUGGGCGUAAAGCGCACGCAGGCGGUCUGUCAAGUCGGAUGUGAAAUCCCCGGGCUCAACCUGGGAACUGCAUUCGAAACUGGCAGGCUAGAGUCUUGUAGAGGGGGGUAGAAUUCCAGGUGUAGCGGUGAAAUGCGUAGAGAUCUGGAGGAAUACCGGUGGCGAAGGCGGCCCCCUGGACAAAGACUGACGCUCAGGUGCGAAAGCGUGGGGAGCAAACAGGAUUAGAUACCCUGGUAGUCCACGCCGUAAACGAUGUCGAUUUGGAGGUUGUGCCCUUGAGGCGUGGCUUCCGGAGCUAACGCGUUAAAUCGACCGCCUGGGGAGUACGGCCGCAAGGUUAAAACUCAAAUGAAUUGACGGGGGCCCGCACAAGCGGUGGAGCAUGUGGUUUAAUUCGAUGCAACGCGAAGAACCUUACCUGGUCUUGACAUCCACAGAACUUUCCAGAGAUGGAUUGGUGCCUUCGGGAACUGUGAGACAGGUGCUGCAUGGCUGUCGUCAGCUCGUGUUGUGAAAUGUUGGGUUAAGUCCCGCAACGAGCGCAACCCUUAUCCUUUGUUGCCAGCGGUUAGGCCGGGAACUCAAAGGAGACUGCCAGUGAUAAACUGGAGGAAGGUGGGGAUGACGUCAAGUCAUCAUGGCCCUUACGACCAGGGCUACACACGUGCUACAAUGGCAUAUACAAAGAGAAGCGACCUCGCGAGAGCAAGCGGACCUCAUAAAGUAUGUCGUAGUCCGGAUUGGAGUCUGCAACUCGACUCCAUGAAGUCGGAAUCGCUAGUAAUCGUAGAUCAGAAUGCUACGGUGAAUACGUUCCCGGGCCUUGUACACACCGCCCGUCACACCAUGGGAGUGGGUUGCAAAAGAAGUAGGUAGCUUAACCUUCGGGAGGGCGCUUA